CUGCAAACGCCCAAUGGCCGCUGGGAAGUUACCAGUGAAGUUGUUGCCGGAAAGGUUAAGGGAUGAGAGCCUGGUGAAGCGGUCAAUAUCAUCAGGAAUGAAGCCAACGAAGAAGUUUUGAGAGAGGUUCAAGUACUGGAGCUUUGAACAAUUAAAGAGAACCACAGGGAACAUUCCAAUGAAGCUGUUGUUAAAAAAAUCAAGAACGGUCAGGUUGUCGAGGUCACAAAUGAAGGGUGGGAUCUGUCCGGCGAUAUUCAUGUUGGAAAAAUCAAGUCCAGAGACGUAGCUGUUGGUGCAGCUGACUCCUGGCCAAGUACAAUGAGAGGAAGAGAUUGAUGGGUUCCA
rnacentral:misc_RNA from 1 species